rnacentral:rRNA from 1 species
GACGAACGCUGGCGGCGUGCUUAACACAUGCAAGUCGAGCGGUAAGGCCCUUUCGGGGGUACACGAGCGGCGAACGGGUGAGUAACACGUGGGUGACCUGCCCUCAGCUCUGGGAUAAGCCUGGGAAACUGGGUCUAAUACUGGAUAUGACUCCACGGUGCAUGUCGUGGGGUGGAAAGCCUUGUGCGGCUGAGGAUGGGCCCGCGGCCUAUCAGCUUGUUGGUGGGGNGAUGGCCUACCAAGGCGACGACGGGUAGCCGGCCUGAGAGGGCGACCGGCCACACUGGGACUGAGACACGGCCCAGACUCCUACGGGAGGCAGCAGGUGGGGAAUCUUGCGCAAUGGGCGAAAGCCUGACGCAGCGACGCCGCGUGA